UUUUGGCUAUUCUGGGUCCUUGCAUUAAUUUUAGGAUCAGCUUGUCAAUUCCUACAAAAAGGCAACUGGGGUUUUGAUGGGGAUUGCACUGAAUCUGUAGAUUGGGGAGUAUUGCCAUUUGAAUAACAUUAAAAAUUUUGAUUCAUGAACACAGAUAUCAUUCCAUUUAUUUAGAUCUUUAAUUUCUUUCAAUGACAUGAGUAGUUUUUGUUGUACAAGUCUUGCAUUUCUUUGGUUAAAUUUAUUCCUAAGUUUUUUAUUCUUUUUCAUGCUUCUAUUAGUUUGCUUGGGCCGCCAUAACAGAAAAACCACGGACUAGUUGACUUAAACAACAUAAAUUAAUUUUUUCACAGCUCUGGAGACUGAAAUCCCAAGGUCAAGGUGCCAGCAGGGGUGCUUACUGAAUCUCCAGUACUAUGUUGACUAGAACGGGAGGAGUGGAUAUCUUUGUCUUGUUCCUGAUCUUAGGGGAAGGCAUCCACUCUUUCACCAUCAGCUGAGCAGGUACAGGUGAGAAGAGAAGUUCUGUUGCCUUGGAGCAGUACGGCUGCCUGGGAAACAAGAAGUAUUCCUGACGCUUCCAACUCUGGACGACGUGUGAAAGCAGGGAAGCAUGUGUGGAAGGAGGGCAGAGAACUGAACCUCAGGAACACCAAUACCAACGUAGGCACAGGGAAAGGAUGGUUUGGCGCAGCCUCGAAGGCCAGCUGCAGAGGCAGAAGAGCCAGCAGGUAUGGAUAGUCCUUGGGGACACCCAAGAAUGUGUUGAGGGGCAGAAGUCUGAGGCAGCAGUUGGCUGGUUUAUCAACUCAAAUGAAAGAAUUAUGCUACCCAGGUCAGGUCCCAAGGGCUGACAGGGACUUCAAAACUGGGAGCUGCCCCCAGUAGAGUAUGUGCCAGUGAGUACCAGAAUCUUCUGGGUGACUUGAAAGAACCUCUAGUUCUACGGAUUUUCCAAUGGGCAAAAUACAGUAGGGGAACCAUUUAUAAUUAACUCACAUCUGUUUUAAUUUGGAUGACGAAGCCUUAAAUAUGUUCAGCCACCGUGGGCUCCUUUGGCAUUGGAGAUGAAAGGAGGACCAGCUGAAGGCAAGGUCUUCACUCCUUUUCCAACUUUGGGCUUGCUUGCCAGGUGGUGAACACAACCUGGUCCAGGCCUGUGCCUUAGGCAUUCAUGCUUUGCAGAGGUUAAGGCCCACCUUGCUCUACCUCCCCUGCUGCUCAGCCUGGAGAGCUGGCUGGUCUGCAUAUCUUAGGGCUUGGUCAGUCUUCAGUCAGGCACCUAAACCUCAUCACCUGUUCAGCAAAGUGAGGCCACAUCAGUCUCCACAGGACUCAAGAGUUCUUAGAUGCCACCCCAACCAGCAAUUUCUUUCUCUUGGCCCCCUUUCCCACUGCUUUUAUAGGAUUUUAAAGCAGCAGUGCACCUGCAGGCUUGCAUCCAUUAAAAAAAUAUAUUUUAAGUUCAUAUAUGAACUUUAAAGUCUUUGAGUAGUGAUAAACUCGCAAAUUAUUUUAUCUCAGAUCAGAAUGUUACGGUGGAAGACCCAGGGCAGGGCCAGUCAUCUAGUUUUAAUACAUGGUGGGACAGAAGCCCUGUCUGGCUCUGACCAUUGAGAAUGUCCACCAGCAGCCAGAGACAGAAAUGUCACCUCAUUUCAUGGACGGUGGAAAGGGGAGCACUUCCUAGGCACUCACUGUCAACCCCCUCUUUGUGGCCAGUGCUCUGCUCUAGAUAAGGAAAUGCUCAGUUCCUCACCACCCACGGGCAACUCAGCUGGCGCUGCAGGGCUGGAUUCCAGCCCAAGUUUGUGGGCUCAGAAACCCCAGGUUCUUUCCACCAAACGAGUGGUUCUGAAACUGGCUCUUGUGGCAGUGCUUCAGAGGUUCCCUGCAAACAUUCGCUUCAAGUGUCAUCUUAAAAGUCGAGGGCUUCCCUUGUGGCGCAGUGGUUGAGAGUCUGCCUGCCGAUGCAGGGGACAUGGGUUUGUGCCCUGGUCCAGAAGGAUCCCGCAUGCCACGGAGUGGCUGGGCCUGCGCGUCCGGAGCCUGUGCUCCACUAUGGGAGAGGCCCGCGUACCGCAAAAAAAAAAAAAAAAAUGUCCAUAACACGUACACUCAGAUGUAAAACAUGCGUUGCUUAGGCUGCCUGAGACCUCAGGUAAGGCCUCCAUUAUUGCGCUUGUGUGGGCUUCUCAGGGGUCGCUGAUGCAGAAGGUGCAAGCCUGGUGCUGGGAUCGCCAUACCCAGCUGCAACUCAGUGCUAUGGCUCUCACCAUAGUACAAUUUUAGUGAUUAUAACCUUUGUGUGUUUCUUACCUGAUGUAUGGAGGAUAAGGGCUGAAAGCAGGUAUUGGAUAUUCCUCUUGAUCUUUUUUCAAGUAUCUACUUCAGUUUUGUCCAUAACUAGAGAUUGCAGACAACCUAUGACUAUUUCCACUUAUACAGAUAAAAAUCAGGAUUUUUUCCUCCAUACCAAACAAAAUCGGAUAUAAAUUGGACACUGAGAUAGCUCACGACUAACCCAUUUGCACUAGUCAAAAAUGCUCCCCCCACCACCCUUGCCACCCCACUAGCUUAAGACAUGACUUGAACUUAGUUCAUGCUAUUAACACUUUGUAUGUACAUGAAAGGUUUAAAAGAAAAACAAAAAUACUGCAUUACAAUAUCAAAGCCUUUUGAUUUUGGUUACCAGGGAGAGGAGGGCUCACAGUUUAAGCCUUCUGGUAGUGACUACUAAGCUCUUCUCCAAGAUUUCUGGUUUGGCUAACUCAAAGAGAACCAGGUUAGAGUAACUAUUUAUCUAAGGCUGCUUUCUGGAAACCCAAGAGCACUGAGGGGAAGGGGGCCGGAGAGAAUGUUUCUUAUUCAAAUCUUCUGUAUUCUCUGGUAACCGUGGAUGAAUCUUUGCUGCUCCCUGAAACUUGGUUUUCUCAACAAAAUAUCACAAACUCAAAAUGGAUUAAAGACCUAAAUGUAAGACCGGAUACUAUAAAACUCUUAGAGGGAAACAUAGGUAGAAUACACUGACACAAACUGCAUCAAUGUCUUUUUCAGUCCGUCUCCCAGAGUAAUGGAAAUAAAAACAAAAAUAAAUAAAUGGGACCUAAUUAAACUCAAAAGCUUUUCCCACAACAAAGGAAACCACAAACAAAACAAGACAACCCAAAGAAUGGGAGAAAAUAUUCGCAAACAGUGCGACUGACAAGGGAUUAGUCUCCAAAAUAUACAAACAGCUCAUGCAGCUCAAUGUCAAAAAAAAAAAGCAAACAACCCAAUCAAAAAAUAGGCAGAAAAAAAAAAAAAAGGCAGAAGACCUAAAGACCUAAAUAGACAUUUCUCCAAAGAAGACAUACAGAUGGCCAAAAGGCACAUGGAAAGAUGCUCAAUACUGCUAAUUAUUAGAGAAAUGCAAGUCAAAACUAUAAUGAGAUAUCACCUCACACUGGACAGAAUGGCCAUCAUCAAAAAAUCUACAAAUAAUAAAUGAUGGAGAGGAUGUGGAGAAAAGGUAACCCUCCUAUACUGUUGGUGGGAAUAUACAUUGGUACAGCCACUAUGGCGAACAGUAUGGAGGUUCCUUAAACUAAUAACAGCUACCACAUGAUCUGGCAAUCCCACUCCUGGGCUUAUAUCCAGAGAAAAACAUGGUUCGAAAGGACAGAAGCACCCCAGUGUUUGUAGCAGCACUGUUUACAAUAGCCAAGACAUGGAAGCAACCUGAAUGUCCAUCGACUGAUGAGUGGAUAAAGAUGUGGUACAAUGGAAUGUCAGUCAAUUAAAAAAAAUGAAAUGAUGCCAUUUGCAGCAACAUAGAUGGGCCUGGAGAUUAUCAUACUAGGUGAAGUAAGUCAGAGAAAGACAAAUAUAUGAUAUAUGUGGAAUCUAAAAAAAGAUACAAAUGAACUUAUUUACAAAACAGAAACAGUCUCACAGACUUAGACAAUGAACUUGGGGGGAGGAUAGAUUGGGAGUUUGGGAUUCAUAUGUACACACCGCUAUAUUUAAAACAGAUAACCAACAAGGACCUACUGUAAAAAAUAAAAUUUAAAAAAAUCAGGAGGUUGGAUUAAAUCAAUGAUUUCAGACUUUCGUUUUAAUCAUCGAAACCUUUCUUCAAAUCACAUCACCUUACUUGGAAGCCUAAUACUGAAUGGGACUGAAGGCUCGCUUCCCACAGAACAGCAUGAAAACCACAAAACUACACUAUCUAAGGUCCCUCCCCCCUACCUCUAAUAUCAGGAUUUCAAGUCCCAGGCCUCUGAAACACAGAUGCUGACUCCUGCUGCCCCCUCCUGGCCAGGCCUCUCCCUGUCUUUUGAACAGACUAAGGGGUGGAGCUGUUUUAUCCCAUGCACCUAAAACACUGGUCACAAGACUGACUAGAGAACCACAGUGGCAAGGGGCUGAACAACUGUUUGUGGGUGAAAACGACAUUUACUUAGUUUACAUGGUCACGGAGGCUAUAGCAGAAUCAAUGCUGUUACAAUAGUGGGCACUACUGUCAGCAGCAACAUGGUGUUUUUAACCAGAAUCCAAGCCUCAUGGGUUCAGUUUGCAUUAAAAAAAAAAAAAAAAAAAGUCAGGAAGCAGUGAAAGGUCAAUUUUGAAUGCCAAUGUAAAACAAAUUUCACUGAAAAUACAACUGAAAUGCAACUGCUAUGAGUACUAUAAGAGAAGCUUUGAUAUGAUAAAAAAGACAGUAAGUGGUAAAUAAAAUACAACAGCAGCAUUAAAAAACUUUGUAAUUCCUACUUCAGAGGGUACCCCUUCCCUUUCCUCCUCAUGCCUCCGACAACUGCCUAGUCUGGAAGAGCCCUGUUCAACCAGGGAAGCAGCUGGUAUCUGCACAAAUAUGCAGCAGAUGAACUCCACACAAGUCAGAGGACCAAAGUGUAAGUGUGGUUGUGUACUGGGGGCAGGGAGACUCCUGUUUAAGAGUCAGAGGCUUAGGAACGUAGCCACCUACUCCUGCUAGAUGUCUCUCACACAUUCUGGUCCUGCCCUCCAGACAUCUCAUCAGUCACCUCAACUUCGAACAAAUGUUCUUAGAAAAUGACUAGAAAUUAAACAGCUGGGACUCCUGCCAUUAUUUUCCAAACUCCAAAUGGAGAGUCAAGUCAUUUUGCUCCACAGUCCAGGCCCAUUUUCACUCACUGUUAGCCCUACCUUCAGCUAAUGCAGUCGGGUGGGUACAGCUGCAGCCCUGGAGACCGAUCACUUGAACAGGUACCAGCAAAAUGAAAAGUCCUGCAACAGCACCUUCAAAGCAGCCCUUCUUCUUAAGACAUCAGCAGAGGUCAUGGCUACAGUUAACGAUCUCCCAGCCUCAUGUGCAGCGGCCAAGUAUAUCAGCUGUCUCAAGGACAGUGGCCUGAAACCAUAUUCUAGGGUUUAUCCUCAAUUCCCAUUUUGAUAUUUUUUAAUAGCUGGAAAUUAACAAAUGCUCUGGGGCAGCAUUUUGUUCAUUCCCCUUUAAAUCCGCCACAGUACCUUUUUUUUUUUUUUUUUUUUGCGGUACACGGGCGUCUCACUGUUGUGGCCUCUCCUGUUGCGGAGCAAAGGCUCCGGACGCACAGGCUCAGCGGCAAUGGCUCACGGGCCCA